CCUGCCUGAUAGCAGCAGAAAGUGUGAAGAAAAUCAAAACAGUGCUUUGCAAGGCUUAAACGCACUAACUCACCCUUAUUUCAUAUGCUGAAUAAACAGUUAGAAGAGCUUAAUAACUGCCAAGUCACGUUCAGGGUGAUGCUUCAGCCCUAGUCCAGCGGAUCAGUGGUGCUUUCCUCAUCACGUUCUACCACUGAAGACUCCUACAUUAGAUUAUAAAAUGACCUUUCUUCCACUGGAGGAGGCCAAGAUGAGCAUGGAUGAGGACUGAUUCUCAAUCACAUGGAACUUCUUUAAGCCUAUACAAAGCUGAAGACAGGACAAACCUCUGUAGCAGUUAUCUGGGAUAGCUCAUUAAAAGAGUGAGUGAAAAGGAAGGUAUUUUAACUUAAUAGUCUAAUAAUAGUGAGUGAUGCUAUAGUAAAUAGGUUGUUCCCGCCUUCUGAUACAAUUGAAUAAGGAACUGUAAUUGAAAAGGCUUAUGAUAUAUUGAAGUUCUGCUACUGAAGAUGGCCACAACUGAUAAAUGUCACACAGUUUCAGAAAAGAGAUGACUAUAAAAUAUUAGAACAGCCUAGUACAAACAGCUGGCUUAAUAUGUUCAACAGGUGUAAAGGGACAGAAAAAUCGUGGUUCCUUCAUUUAUAUGCCAUGUAAUCCUGGUGUAUAAAUAUAGCCUUAGCAUAUAUGCAUUUUUUAUUAUCCCACUCACUUAUAGCAUUGGUACCUAUUAUGCUCUGUAUGGUUUUUAUCCUCUGUAAUCCUUUUAUUCUCUCUGUGACUUUGCAAAUGUUCUCCAUAAUGCUUUGAAGAUUAAUCCCAUAAUUAAAGGACAUAGUUAAAUAAUGAAAAUCUGGGUUGCUUAUACUGAAGUGGCAUGUAAAAUCUUCAACCAUUUAAGUACAUCUCAAAGCAUAUUUCACUUGAAGUAACAAAGCACAAGCUAACAUUUCCAAAAGGAGUUACAGCUGGUGAUUCACGAUGUAGCAGGUAAGUGUGACUAUUGUAUCCUGUAUUAUGCUUUGCCUGGAACAUAUUUCACUUAAAGUAUUAUGUUUCAUUCAUCUCUAUUAUUGUCAUAAGACAGUAGAAACACCGUUCCUGUUUGCUAAACAGAAGAGGCUUGAUUUUAGCAGUACACCAGGGUAAUAAUACACAUUUGAUUAAAGAAGCAGUGAUACGUGCUGAACCAAAAUCUAAAUGUUCUACACCACAAAUUACUCCAGUUCCUAUUCGAUGCCAUGUCUGCCUAUAGCUAAGCAGGUGAUAAGAUCAUUCCAGUGGAGUCCUGUUUCUUCAGCUACUGAUUUAUUCUGAUAGCUGCCUUCAUGUGAGAAAGCUGUCCCACAUCUGCUGCCAUAACAAAGUUAUUCUGAUGGCGGAACAAUAAUAGACUAAGCAAUCCUGCCUGCUGCCAGAAUUCAGCAAGGCACAGAUGGAUGUUACAGUCAUCAGAUGUUUAGGCAGUAGAAUACCCUGCUUCCAGUUAUUUGUACUGAAAUGUUUCACUCGGGGGAUUACUUUAUCCACUUGAUCUCAUCAGGUUUGGCUUGAAAUGGAACCAUGGUGAUGACUUUUUAUGGGUAAUGGUCCAUCACGUAUUCACUAGGACUUCCCUUAAUUUGCAGCCAUGGGGAUAAAAUGACAUGUUAAAUAAAAAUAUGAAUUCAGUCCUUUUUUUUUAGUUAAAAAGCUGCACCUGAUAGAGUGUCAUAAGAGUACUGAGCAAAAUACUGUCUAUCCUGUGAGCAAAACCCUGAGGCUAGAACUGAAUGAAUGAUAACAAGUGCUUCACCAACAGCCAAAGUGCUUGUAGGAAGCAUGACCUUUUUGGGUAACUGAGAACAAGUAAUUUUGAAUAAAGUUGGCAAUAUCACGUGCAUUACUUGAAAAAGGUUGAAUAAAAUACUGUAACGUAGCAACCCUGUGCGGGCUAUGCAGGAUAAGGGGUGAUUUCAGUUAAAUAUGAGGAAGGGAAAGAAACAAUGGGAAGAGUUCACUGGAAAGGGGUUUAUUCAUUCUAAGACCUUGAUUAGAGGGAAGGGGAUCAAGAGUGGUUUUAUCAGAUGUUGGAGGUAAUGCUAGUGAGUAACUUAUGACCUUCUUAUCUAUGGGUAUGGGCCUUGCCCUAAAGUUCCUGGCCUCAAUACGGCUUAGUGAGCCGAUAUUAGUGAGCUAUUUCAGUAGGACAAAACUGUCAUCUGCAGGUGUCUGCCUCUUUCUUUCUCUCUCAUUCUCUGCUGGGAAGAAAGAACACUUUUACUUGCAAUACGUGAACUUUUUGCUUUCUUCAAUCUCUGCAGGAAGGGAGGAAAAAAAACAAAGUUGAAAGUCAGUGUCCUUUCCAUGCAAUAGGUAGCAACAAUCCUGUAAUCUCUAUACGAAAUCUAUUGGUAAGUAGAAAUAGCAAUUUGAUAGUCUUUCUCUUAGAGUUUAAGAAAAGAUUUGAGAUUAGCUCUUGACAUUUGUAUUUGUCCUCCUGUGUUCCAUCUGAAAUGUGUUUUCUGAAAGAAUUCAAUUUUCUCAUUUCCUAUUUACUACUCUUGUUGAGGCUGCAUUGUUAUUUGGAAAGCUAUGGAAUUAAAAUUUCUUGAAGUCUGUCAGAGACUGAAAAGUAUAGAAACAGUUCCAUCAGGGAUACAUUUGACCAGAACGAUGCUAAAGUCUCUAAGGGUGAGCCCUUGUGAUAUCAUAGAGUAAUGAGUUUCUGUCAAAGCCCCAGUCUUCUAGCAACUUACUUCAAUAUCUAUAUACAUUUUCUAAUAGUAAUAUAUAUACCUAUGUAUGCAUCAUAUUUAUCUUUUUCUAAUCUUUGUGCAUCUUUACAAUGGAGUGUGAGGGGAAGGAAGAGGCAACAGGCAUGGGCCACCCUGUCGAGUCCCAGACUAAUCCACAUUUUAUGCAGAAAGAGUACCUUUCUUCGCAUCGAGAUUGCAAGUAAACAGCCGAAUGAUUCUGCUGCUACAAGAAUCAAGAAUUCUGCCCUGGUGCAACCCCUAAAUGAUAACUGAUAUUUCUAGAGGGCUAAAGGAAAGAAAUUUAAGUUAAACUUCAGAGAUGGUUUGAAAAUUCCCACCACCAAGUUAAGAAAAGGAAAAGUUACUCUAAUGCAAAUAUAAGUGUCCUAAGAGAUUGAGUGUUCAUAAAAUGAUGCUGCUUCCAGGAGAAUAUUAUUAAGGCAUUAUACAGUGAAAAAAAACUGUAUGGAAGAGAAGGUUACUGAAGGUUGUGAAAGGUAACUUAAUCCAUCUCUCUGGCAGAAGGAAUGGUAGAAGAAUAGUGCCUUUAGAGCAAACCUUAAGUCAGUCUGUUCUAAAUCUUCGCUGAAGCUAGUUGGGCAGAAAAAUGUAAACCUCUCUGAUUCAAGGAACUUUGUCCACCCCUUUCUCAGCUUUUUUACAGUGAUAGUGUCUUAUUUGCUUAUCGGUGUUGGCAGACAGCUGAAGAGGAUGAUGUAGAAGACAAGGGAGCCACAAUCUGUGGUCACAAAUAGCCUGGCACAUCAGCAAUCUAAUUUCAGUGGCAGAAGAGGAAACAGGUUUGCCUCUUCUGCCUGGCAAAUCAGUCUCUGCGUUGGUCCUCCCCAGAGUGUCUUCUGUAAUGAUAUACUCGACUUCAGUUUUUGCAAGACUUUCUAAUUUUGCCUCUGAAUAUUAUCAGUCUUCUUCAGUUAUUUUCUAAUUUACUUUGCUACCAGGUAUCUCAUGUUUCUCUACGGCUUUGCACUGGUACUUCUUGUAGUUUCCCAGUAAGCAGCCUGGAGAGGAUAGGAGAAAUAUUUUUCAAAUAUGCCAUACUUGCACACAGUUCUUAUCUUGUCAUUGUCCUCUCAGGACGGGUAUUUGGAGAAUACAUUUUUUUUCCUGCUUUCUACAUUUUGCUCUUCUGAAAUGUCAUUGACAAGAGCAUCUAAUGGCACUCUAUAUAAAUAUAAGAAGAAAGGAGAUAAGUUUUUGCACUUUUGUUCCUUGCAGAAUUCCUGAGAGCAGCAGCAAUGGUGAAGAGGAUACUAAAGAAGACAGGCAGACCAGGAUAAAACAGCAGCCGUUUUCGAGCUGGAGGAGCCUCCCAGCUUAGAUAGUAAUAGAGAAUAGAGUCAAGACAUGCUGCUAAUAAGUCCAGUAUUAACUCACCAUAAUUACUUGACCUUACAGAAAUGCUAAUUCAUCAUUAUGGCACUGCUAUAAAUAGAAUAUCAUCAUUUCACAUUUUCCAAUAAAUUCAAUACAUUCUGAAAUUAAGUACAGUAGUAAAAUUUGUGUUUCCACGCAGUAACACACCGCAAUCACUAUUUAGCACUGAAGCCCUUUUUUAUGAAUGCAGGAUUAGGGUUUAGUGCUGAUUGUAAUUUCAGAAUAGAGACUGAAUUUUCCACUGAAAUAAUAAUUUGCAUAUUUCCAGUAUAUCUAGGUCAGUGCAGUUGUUUAGUUUAUCUGGAAAAUUGACUACUGUGUGCAUUCUCUGAUGAUGAAAGAAGAAAUCCACUGUGUAGUACUGAAGUCUCUUCGCUAUUGUACCUCCCCUCCCAUCAGACCAGAUUCUGAGAAAUUUCUGGAAACUCUGCUAUUUCUGGAUGCAGAUGUGCUGGUGCAGUCUUGCUCACCCUCACGGCAGCCCUCUUGAGCUGGAGUGGACUCAGAUUCCACCACCCCACCUGACCUGGGGAAUGCUGGGGGGUUUUGGAACAACUGACGUGCCCCCAAAGGACCACUCCAUUCUCUUUGAAACUUUACACUAAGCAAUGCACUCUUUGCAGAAGUUAAACAGAAAUCUGGGAGAAAAGUAGCCGUGUGGCUGGAUUAAACUUUCCUUGCACAAUGGAUGGCCCAUGCACAGAUACAUUACAAAUGUAGAAGGGAUUUGCAACAGACCUGGAGGUUUGGAUACCACAUAUAAGCAUGUUGGUUUAGCUGCAGCUUAGUAAAAUUUCUAUUGUGUGAAAAAGCUAUGUUUUGGCAAGAUGGUGUCCUGAUCCGGCAAGAACUGGGGAUGGAGAAGGUGUCAAGAACUUCUGCUUUUGCAGGCAAGCAACCUUCAGGGGAGUCCGACAGACAUUCAACAAACCAGACAUUAUUCUGGGUUACGAGCCAACAAAAUGUGCCCUGGAUGUCACGUGUUACAUCAUACUAAAUUUAUUGUAGCCUCUGAACAGGAAAGAUAUGAAGGCAGCCUGACAGCCUAAAGCACCUCUAUCUGAUGCCACCACAUCAGAAAACAACAGCCUAGAAAUGGGAUCUUGGGAAAAAUAAUCACUCCUGACACUGCUGCACGGAUGGAGAGUUUGGAUUGGUUUUUUGCAGCUGGAGAUGUCAAACAGACCUUCCUCUGGAUGAAACAUGACAGGGGAAGCUGCUCUCCGUGGGUAAUCUUUUCUGAAGCUUGAAAAGAAGGAGAAAUAAUUGAGGGGCCAGAUCUCAAAUCCAGAAAUCAUGCCUGCUGCAGUCACCUACUAAUCUGGUGGCCACAAGCUGAUUGCUUCAUACUCACUAAGUCCCAACAGCAGAAUUCCCCAAAGGCAUGAUUCAUCAGUUAGGCAGCACAGUCUGUCCCAUGGAGCUGAGACUGUGUGCUAAUCCUGCAAAAAGCUUCUGGCAACUUUGCAAUUGGAGGAAGACUCUACAAUGUCUAACUGGUUGGCAUCCUCUUCCAGGAUGUUUAAAUACAGAUAAAACUUCAAGCAGAUGGAUAAGAAUACAGAAUGUGAGAGCAGUAGUCAACUCACAUUCGGAUGUCUGAUUUCAGAGACUGAGUGUGCUCAUGUUGGGCUUCCUGGAAAUGGGCUGGCAUCAACUCAGCAGUGCAGCAGAAUGAAUUUCACUGUUUCGAUGCAGUCUUAACAGAAAGUAUAGCUAAACAGCUGCAAAAACAUGUACUGAUUAUGUAUACUGUCUCACGACAAUCAGAACCCCAAAGCUGCCCUCUGAUCCUGUUUUGCUUUGCCUUAGUUUGGUCUCUUAUUUACCACCUUGUUUGGAUACUCACAGCAGCUGUAUCGUGAUGAGUCCCAGUUGUUUACAUCCCUUACUGUCCUACUCCAUCUCACAGCUUUUACUGGAACACAUUUCAGAGAUGCGUCAAAGACAGUGAGACGAGGAAGAAGGGAUUAAACCAUCUGGUCCUGCUGCCUUUUUGCAGGCUUCCCCAUCAGGCUUUCCAUGCUCUCUUGCUCUGGACAGCAUAACUCCCCCUUUCUCCUAUCUGCACUGCUGGGUUACAACUCUUGGGUACCUUUGCUUUGUGCUUGAGAUAUGUUCAAAUAAAAGACUGUGCAACCAUUCCUCCUGCCCCAAGAAUUAUUCCCAAGUGUGUGUUUUAAUUCACUUUUAUUUUGAUACAAGGGAAGACAAACAGCCACAAGCUACUUUAGCUGAGAGGGGCAGAACACUUCACCAAACCAUGCAAGAAACAUCAUAAUGAAUACAUUGGUUACUGUCCGGAUUAUCUCCUGCCUUGCACUUUAUGGGUCAAAUGAUGCCUGUGCAAGUGUGUCCCGCUCAGAAGUGGUUGAUCAAUGUUAUUUUGCUUACAGAUCACAACCUUGUAAUCCCUCUCUCCCCUUCUGCCCUUUCCACUCUGCUUAAGUAGCUAUGUGUGUUCACGGAAGCAAGGUAAAGAAGGUAAAGACAGGAAAAGAGAAAGGCACGAGGAAGAAGUGAUUAUUUUUUUUUAAAACCUCUUACUUCUUUACCUUUCAUUAUAGAGAUCUGCAGCUAAACUAAAAGAAAGGGGGAGAGACUGUUAUUGGUACUUCCUAAGCCUGCUAAAUAGAUCUUUUAUUUGUGCAUCAAACUAGCAGAGGAAGUAUCUUGAAGCCUCAGGUUGUCCUCCACAUACUGUUAUUUUCUAGUGCCUGACAGUUAGCUUUAAGCUGCAAUUGCUAUCAUCCAGAGAAUCUCAGCUUUCAUUUUCAAGACUGAAGUGCAUUUUCAGCUUUCAUGACUUUCAUGACUAAUGGUGGAUAAAGGUUAAAAGCCUUUCAAUUGGAAAGUUCUAUAAACAAAGUGAAAACAUUUGUUUCCUUUUAAUCUCAUGUUUUAAAGUGUAUCUUAAAACAGAAUCUUUAUUUUUAACAAAUGGGGAUUAAGUGUCUGGAGCAAUAUGGAAGGACCCUCUCUGGUAAGAAAAGCUGCCAGCUCGUCACACAGUAGCAGUUGUGAAAGCUGUUUGAGAAAUGCUUCAAAUGUCGCCUAUGGGGCUUAAGUGCAUCAUAUAUCACUCCACUAAAAGUUGUAUUCUACACUCUACGCUGCACGUAUCUUCUACCUUGAACCCUGCAACAGUGGGGUAAGAUAGACAAGCAAUGAGACUACUUUUACAUAAGCGUAUUUGAAGUGCUCUUGUGUAGGUUUCUACUCCUGACAAACACACACAUUCCUGCCUGGCAGCUGCUGAUGCUGCAGGUGUGUUUCUGUUACAGUCUAUUCCCUCAGAAACUAGAGGUUAUAAGAUAUCUCAGCCUGCUUUUACAGAGGGAAUGCUACAAUCUCCUUCCUUCUCUUGAAUGUAGACAGGAAUGUUCAAAGAACAGACAAGUAUGAGUGGCUAUAGAUGUGAGAAACCACUGAGGUUUUCAGGAGAUGGGGGAAAGGCAGGAAAAGGAAAUUAUUAGCAGGACAACAGCUGCUCCAGUGAGGCUAGAAACUAGUGGUCUAGACUUUUAAGCAAACCUCAAGGUAAUCAUGGCAUGUGAGCUACACUGCUGUGAAAAGUCUUGGUUUAGUUCAGUGCUUGUUUGGAAGCUUAUGGCUUUGCUAAAAUGAAUGGGAAAAAAAAAAAACCCAGAUAACAAAAAUGGUACCCAUAGUGGUGGUGCUGUUUAUAUCUCCAGAACUGUACAGGUAGGCCAGGAAAUUGUAACAUCUUUCCUGGUCACUGCUGCAAAGAUAAUAUUUGAACAAGGUAAUGGCUGUGUAGUUGUAUGGUACAUACGUUGGGGUCUGAGUCAAAUGAACAGAAGUUGCUGUUCGUGCUUUUGCAUUUCGGAUGGAAAAGGUAUGGAGAUACACACAGGCCAUUGUACAGGUAUGAAUGUAUUUGUCAUGCUUAUCAGAAUAGAUCUGAAAUCUCCAGGCCAGGCUGUGGUUCAGAUUGCUUCACUAAGAACAGGACAACUACUCCUUAACCAGACAGUGAGACGCUUGGGUGUACAGAGGCUGGAUUUCUGCAUGCCAGCUGCUGAGAAUGAUUCCUCAAAUCAGAAUAGUGAAUGGCAAAACAAAUUUAAACAUGAAUAAAUAAAUAAAAUUCAACAGGUAGUUGAAAUGGUUAUUAAUAACAUUGUAGAGUGACUCUUGUCUUACAGAGAAAAAUAAUGUUUAAGCUUCAAAACUGUAUAUAAAGCAGCUAUAAAGGCUGUAAGGAGUGACCCCUGUGGAAUAACAAAAUUAUAGUUUAUUAGUUAAGUAGCUGACAUCCACAGUUAUUACAUUUCUCAGGGUUAUUAAACAUUCUCUCUGAUUUGUCAUGCAAGCUAAGUCUGCUAUGUUUUAAUAACCUAUUAAACAGUUUUAGUUUGAAUCAUUCUGGCCUCAAGCAAUGUUCAAGAUCUCCCAGUCUCUCCAGAGAGACUCUGAAGUUGUAGGGCUCUGUUCAUUUCCCUUUUGUUUUCUAUUUCUCUAAAUCUCUUCUGUUCCUUGUUUUUAUCUGCUAGUUGAACUCCAAGGGGCCUUAAUUAGCUAGCUGAAAAAGAAAAGAGGGAGAAAGAGAAGAGGCGAGAGUGUUUUUCUUCCUGCCAUUUGCACUAAAGGUUACAGUGGCCUGUGAGUUGGUGUAAAUAAAAUGUUAACUGUGUUGUUAUCCUAACCAACGACUGAAUAGCCCACCUUUUUCCCUUUCAGUUUCUGAUGAGAGAGAAGAAUUUCCUCCCAGUGAUUUCUCAGACCUUCCUUUGCCAUGGUUUCCCAUUCCUUACUUUUUCUCAUCUUUCUCCUCAACAUUUUAUGUGCCCAAGGGAGUUUGCAAAGGGCAAUGAAGCACCAAAUUCCCUUUGAAGGUCACUGCAAUUAUAUUUCUAGAAGUGCGAGUGUUAUGUUUUAGACUUAAAAUAAGUUGCAUAUUCCUGCCUUAUUAUGUAGUGUUCCUUGAAUCAUUCUGUUCAGUACAAAAAUACUUUACUGGUUAAAAAGUAAAAAAUUCAAGAACUUGGCACUGUUCUGUGCAUAGAAAUCAUAGACUUUCCUGAAAGUUGAAAGGUACCUGCAAGGAUCAUUGAUUCCAACUCCCUGCAUAGGACAACGCCAACAUUCACACCACAUGUCUGAGGGUGUUGUCCAAAUGCUUCUGUAAUAUUGUAAGGCUUGAUGCUGUGACUGCUUCCCUAGGGACCCUGUUCCAGUGCUCCACCACUCUCUGAGUGAAGAACGUUUUCCAGAUAUGCAACCUAAAUUUCCCCAGCACAUCUUCCUGCUGCUGUUCCUUCAGGUCCUGCCAUUGGUCACCAGAGAGAAGAUCAGUGCCUGCUCCUUCUUCCUUUGUGAGAAAGCGGUAAGAUGCGAUGAGGUCUUCCCUCAUGUUCUGUUCCAUGUGGUUAUUUUACUG